rnacentral:rRNA from 1 species
AACGUAGGAGCCAAGCGUUAUCCGAAUUCACUGGGCGUAAAGCGCGUGCAGGCGGCUUGGUAAGUUGGGUGUGAAAUCUCCUGGCUCAACUAGGAGAGGACGUCCAAUACUGUCGAGCUAGAGGGCGAUAGAGGGAGGUGGAAUUCCGGGUGUAGUGGUGAAAUGCGUAGAUAUCCGGAGGAACACCAGUGGCGAAAGCGGCCUCCUGGGUCGCACCUGACGCUCAGACGCGAAAGCUAGGGGAGCGAACGGGAUUAGACACCCCGGUAGUCCUAGCCGUAAACGAUGUGAACUUGGCGUCGGUGGGGUAAAAUCCGUCGGUGCCGAAGCAAACGCGAUAAGUUCACCGCCUGGGGACUACGGCCGCAAGGUUA